CUGGUGAGGAUCCAGGUGAUGUUCCAGUACUGAUGAGUGGAGCAGGUCAUGAUGCAAUGGCCAUGUCUCAUCUAACCAAGGUGAGCUAUACUCAAAACCUUGUAUUUUUCGACUUGGACGUGAUUUUCUUUCUUUCUUUUGAUAAUGGUGGUGUAAGGGCCACUUGCGAGACUCGAAUAUUUCACCAAGCACUUGCUACCUCUUAGAGUACAGGUACUAGGUAGCUCUAUCCACUUAGGCAAAUAGGAAUGCCUAUGUCUCCCAUGGUUUUACCCACUUCAUUGACACUAUGAACGUGAUUUUCUUUCUUGUUUGUAUUAAAGAUUCACUAUUUUUCGAUAGGUGGGAAUGCUAUUUGUGCGUUGUCGUGGAGGCAUCAGCCAUUCUCCUGCGGAGCAUGUAUUAGAUGAUGAUAUUUGGGCAGCUGGAAUGGCAGUACUUACAUUUUUGGAGACCCUCUUGUAAUUACCGGCAUUCUGCAAUGCAAUCUAGUUUUCCAUUCGUAAUCAUAUUAUGUAUAUACAUCGAUUCAAACUUCUGUAGUUGCAAUAAUGAAAAUGUAUAUUUGCAAAUA
rnacentral:lncRNA from 1 species